AUGAACGCUGGCGGCGUGCCUAAUACAUGCCAGUCGAGCGAACAGACGAGGAGCUUGCUCCUCUGACGUUAGCGGCGGACGGGUGAGUAACACGUGGAUAACCUACCUAUAAGACUGGGAUAACUUCGGGAAACCGGAGCUAAUACCGGAUAAUAUAUUGAACCGCAUGGUUCAAUAGGGAAAGACGGUUUUGCUGUCACUUAUAGAUGGAUCCGCGCCGCAUUAGCUAGUUGGUAAGGUAACGGCUUACCAAGGCGACGAUGCGUAGCCGACCUGAGAGGGUGAUCGGCCACACUGGAACUGAGACACGGUCCAGACUCCUACGGGAGGCAGCAGUAGGGAAUCUUCCGCAAUGGGCGAAAGCCUGACGGAGCAACGCCGCGUGAGUGAUGAAGGUCUUCGGAUCGUAAAACUCUGUUAUUAGGGAAGAACAAAUGUGUAAGUAACUAUGCACGUCUUGACGGUACCUAAUCAGAAAGCCACGGCUAACUACGUG
rnacentral:rRNA from 1 species